rnacentral:tRNA from 1 species
GCCUAGAUAGCUUAGUUGGUAGUGCGUCUGCCUUGUAAGCGCUAGGCCGCGGGUUCGAUUCCCGCCCGGCGCG